rnacentral:misc_RNA from 1 species
AACGCACCUUGCACCCUUUGGCAUUCCGAAGGGUAUGCUCGUUUGAGUGUCAUUGUACUCUCACACUCCCGAUCGUUCGAUUGGGAGCGGUGGACUUGGGUGUUGCUGCUUGCCGUGGCUCACCUCAAAUGGGUUCGUGCACCUCUUGGUUGGACAUAGUACGGCGUGAUAAGUGUCUUCGCCGGCGCCUCAGUAGAGGGUGGCCGAUCGGGAGCUCUGUGCUUCCAACCGUCCUCGGACAACGACUGACAACUUGACCUCAAAUCGAGUAGGACCACCCGCUGAACUUAA